rnacentral:lncRNA from 1 species
GAGAGGAGUUCUAUACCAUUAAAUCACCUUCAAGGUAAGAACUAAAUGCCAUUUUUUAAUAGAUUUUGUUCAUCUAUUACAUCUCUUAGCUCUCCAAAAUCAUGGAAUUUAUAGAUCUUUGAAGAAAAUCUCAAAGUCACUUCAAGAACUCAAAUCAUAAAUUCUAGAGUUUCACAAAGAGGUAAUCCCUUCACUCCAAACUUAGGUACUAUACUCCAUGGGCUUAGUAGAGUAUAUGUAUGAAUGAUAGAUUUAUAUUUAAACAUCUAUUCAUCGAACCCUAGAAGAGUUGGUUGGUAGGGAUGAUAAAUAGUGUUGGGUCUUGUUUGAACGAUGUUAUUUCGAGCUUCUAGUGGAACGAAUAGAUCCCAUGAUAUGUUUAAUGAAGGAUUUGGAGUUAAAAUUCAAGGAUUUACCUACAAAUGAUGAAAUGGGAAUGUUCGCUGAGCUUAUGAAAUUAGGCUUAAAGUGUUAAACACUUAGUUGGGUUAGCUGGUAUUGUCGUGACUCGUUAUUGAAUUAUGUGAGUUCGUAUAUAUACAUUGUGACUCAUCGCCAUGAUCGGAUCAUUCGGGGUAAGGUUGGAAGUAAUUUGAGAUAUGGUGAAACUUAUUACCUUUGGAGCUUUUCUUCAAACUCAUAUCGAAACAUGAUUAAAUUGAGCUUCUAAAUGUGAAUCCUAUUUUGUGGGGACGAACGAGUUGGGAUUGUACCAUUUCUUGCAUCAUAAAAGAUUUGAGUGCUAUGAAUAUUAUUUUCUUGAAAUGUUAUUUAAAUUUUUUUUUAAACUAAAUAAAUGAGAAGCAGUUGUAGUAUUUUUUUUAAAACACAAAUACAUGAGUUAUGAAAUACUUUGGGUUUAUUUAUUUUCAAAUAAUUGACUUGUCUAUAAAUAUCGUCAUUGAUAAAUGUAAAGGUUUUGGGAGUUACUUAAGUUCACCGAGAUUGACCUUGAAUAUUUUUUCUUAUUAGAUCAUGAAACUACACGUGUCGGUGUAGGCGUAGAACCUACCUUACGGUUAGGACUACGAUGGAGUACUUCCUAUUAGGGGGAACUAUUGUGCUACUUUAUUAGCACGGUUGAGUCGAUUCGUGCAGCACCACAAUGAGGCGACCUGAGCAAGUAGUGUAUAUGAUAGUUGCCUCUAGGUACAUAACCUAGUUGACUUUUCCUUAUGUUGGUGGUGGUAUAGUGCUCCCGGUAAAUGAAAAAUCAAACAUGAUUUCGUAAAGAUCAACGCUAGAGGAAGACAUUGUGAUACGUUUUAUCUUAUUGUAGGAUUUUAUUAUUGAAAUUGUUAAUUGAUAUAAAUGCUCUUUUCUUAUAUCAAUUGCUAUUGCAUAAUCUUACAAUUCCUUAAGGCUUGUCCUAUAUUUUGUUGGGGAACGGUUCAUGAUUCGUACUAGGCAUGUGGAGCUCAGGCCUUUCAACCACAUUUCUGUUUAACCAAAAAGUAAAAUUUUAGUCAAAGAUAGAAUUUAGAAGAACACGGGUUACUGAUAAUCAAAAGAAUGAAUAAAAGAAAAUAAUUUAGGUAGCAAGAGAGUAUUCAAGAAAAACAAGUAAACCAAAAUAUAUUCCAAUAGUAUUUUGUUUUCGUGCAAUUGAUCAGAUAUAUCCCUUUUACAGAUAUAUUUGAGAUAUACAUUUUGCCUGAAUCAUAAUGAGGCUAUUAUGAGUAAUUAAAGACAUUGAAUGGUAUGUUACAUAAUCAUCAUAUUCAAUACAAAUUCCCUAUUUCCCUAAUUAAGGAAUUCCUUGUUGAUUCUUUCCCUAAUUCCCCCAUUAGGUAUAGAAGGGGAGCUAGGCUUCAUAGCUUUGGAUCUACUCGUAGUGGUUCUUUAAUGCCUUCUUUUAGCUCUGGUCCUUCUCCUAGAACCAGAGGCUCUCUUUCUCAUAAAUCUUCUUCUAAGGGUAAAGAACCUUCUAAACCAUUGCGUAAGCCUUUAGUGGAGGAGAUAGUCCCUACUGAACUAUCUUUUUAUCAUGAUAGGGGAUCUCUUAGGAAUCAGGUUUCUACUUUAGAUUGUGUUUAUGCUUAUCCCGCUCAAAUUACAGAAAUUUUGAUUCCUAUAGUUUGUAAAGAGUGCCAUUGGAGUAAUGUUUUCCCAUUAUUAUUCCUAAUCCAAAUCAGAGAAUUACCUCUUACUUGAUUGGGUUCUCUUUUGUAUAUAAAUACCCUUUCACCUUAGGGUUCAAACCAGCUAUUGACCCAGUUAUUCUUGAAUUUUGCCAUUUCUUUAAUGUUUGUUUAGGUCAAAUUGGCCCAAUUGUAUGGAGAGUUGCUGCCUGUUUGAGGCAUUUAACCAAUACAGUUGGUGUCCCUUUUACUUUCCCCCACCCAAUUCACAUUUACUCCUCGAGGCUUUUUCGCAAUGACGUUUUUACUUUAUUAGCCAGGAGUAAGAGGGUUUUGAUGAGCCCUAAAGAUGUUAAAGACUGUGGCUGGUAUACCCGAUUUGUUGCUGCCUCACUAUUGGUUUAGUGGGUGAUGAUAACGUUCCCUGCCCUUAGAAGUAAAACUUUGAAUAUAAGUCUUUUAUCUUUCUCGUGCCUUUUCCUUUAAAUCAAUCACCUUUUCUAAUUUGAUCUCUUUUUCUUAGAAACAUGAGAGUUGUGGAGGAUGUUCCCAAUUUCUGGUUGGGUAGAUAAAUUGCUGAAGACCGCACCAAUUGAUGGUAGGUCUUGGAAAAUACUUUCUAACUAUUACGGCUGAAAAGUAAAGACUCAUGAUAAGAUUUUUUAUUUCAUAUAUAUAUAUAUAUAUAUAUAUAUAUUAUAUAUAUAUAUAUAUCUAACUCACAUCCUUUUUUAUCAGGAUUUGCUAUUCGGGGAGUUACUGCUGAAGCAGUUGCGGCCUCUCGUGUCUCUUUGGAGACCCGUACUCCUUCAGGGACACGUAUCAAAGAGCCCGAGAAAUAGUCUUGGGUUCUUCUGUGAAAAGGAAUGCUAUUGAAGCGUAAGAAGAGGAAGAAGAGGAAGAUGCAGGCUCCCCGGUAACGAAGCCACGAGCUAGCAGAUGCAUAGUCUCUAAUGACGAAGCUAAAGUUUCUCCUUAGUUUUUUGUUUCUUUUACCGAACCUGUUGAAGCUCCAAUUAUAAUUCCUGAUGAUGACGUCACUCCUCAUGAUACUCGUGAGUCUAUUGAUCAUCUUUUUAUCAGUGGUUUUGGUAGUGGAAGUUUAGGGCCUAUUUUGGAUGAAAUACCCUUAUCCUUUUUUCCAACUCUCGUUCCAGUAACUAAUUCCUUAUUAGCCCUAGUUGUUCCUGUUCCUUCUUCUACUAUUUUCACUUCUUCUACUACUCCUCCUUCGAUAAUUUCCCCUAUUAUCAUUCAUCAUAUUGAAGGGGGCUCUUUAAGUAGAAGUGUCUCUAUGAGGAGGGUAACUGUUCCUAUUGAUAGCAGCCUUUUGAGGAAGUCAGGUAAGGCAGACGUAUGGCUGGAGCCUUUAAUCGGCCUAACUGAAAAAGCAUAGCUGGAUAGACAUAGUUUCCUGACUCUAAUGAAUGUGCAUCCCAAUUUGAAGGUAUUUUCUUUAUCUCCCUUCUUUACUUUAUAAGAAAAUUUUAUCUUUGGGAUUCUUAUUUUCGCCUCAUUUCCUUUUUAGGCCAAUCUUAUCGGCACGGAAAUGAUGAACAAAAUCCCUCUCUUGGAGAAGGUAGCACGUGACUCAGACAACAUAGCAUGUGAUUCUCAAUUAGAGGCGAUCAAUUGGAACGAACAACUUGAGAGUGCACAAACUGAUAUGGAAGAUUUACAAGAGAGCAAGAGUAUCUUAGAGCAGCAGGUGCAGGCUUUAACUUCAAAGUUAGCGAUUGUAAAAGCUUCCUAAAGCCAAGCAGAGAAAGAAAAAAAAAUGUCCCGAAUCCUACUUUCUCAGAGCAACUAUCUAAGGCCGGUGAAGAGAACAGGGAUUUGAAGGCUCUCUUGAGUCAAAUAGAAGUUUACGCUGGGGAGCUCGUGCAAAGCUUAACUCAAGCACAAGAAGACCUUCAAGUCUCGGCUGAUAAGGUGUGUGCUUUAGAGAGAUCCGAUGCCUCUCUUCAAGCUUCUUAUAACUCUGCCUUAGCUGAAAAUGAAGAGCUAAAGAAUGAGAUUGCUGAUUGGAAAAAGAAUUAUGAGAUCCUUGAAGAAAAAUCUGUUGUUGAGGUAAGUUGGGCAUUUUUGAAUUCAUGUUGUGAUACCCUAAUUGAAACUAGCCAAGAAAACUUCAACCUUGAGUCAGAGUUAGCUAAGAUCAAUGAAACCAUUGAAAAAGCUCAAAAAUCUCAGGACUUCCCUUCUCCCGUGGAUGAAGCUUCCGUGAACGUUGAAGAUGAUUCUGGUAUCCCGACUCUUUCAAGCCGAAUCGAGCAUGUUGCUGAAAGCCAAGUUGAAAGUGCAAUUGUUGAUGCACCUGCCCAAGUUGUGCCCGUUGCUAUUGAUGCUUCUGUUUCAGUUCCACAAACUUCUCAAUGACCAACUUUAACGACUUUGUUUUUUAUUUUAUUUUUGAAAAUUCUAAUCAAACCCUUGGCUUAAUUUGAGGGUUGAUUUUGGAAAUGCAAGUCCCCAAGUUUUUUAUGGGGCAAUCUGUAUAAAUAAUUUCAUAGUUUUAUGAUUAAGCUACAGAAUAACUUUGCAUUUUUCUUCUUUGAAAAUGCUUCUGUUAUUCUCAUGACUAAUUAAUUUAAAUAUAAAUUUUAUAAAAGAGGGUCCUUUUAUAUUCCGAUACUUAAUGAAAAAUAUGUCUCAAUUUCAUAAUGGUGUUAUCAUACGAUAAAAGAAAUAGGAACACACAUAUUUUUUUGAAAUGACUUUGACAAGUAUUGAGUAAUACUUGAGAAGUGUUGAAUAAUACUUUACACGUAUUUGAAUUACAUCUAUAACUUUCUCGUAACUAUUUUUCUUGUAAUAGAUUUUUACAAAAGAAGAAUAAUAGACACGGGGUUUUUCCUUAUAACCCGUUUUAGUACAUAGUCUUUACACUAACGAUAGUGAGGUUUUUCUUUGGCCUUAGCUCAUGGCUCCAUUUUGUGACUUUCUGAAUUUUAUUCUGCACUUGAGUCUUUUAGGCUUUAUUUUUCCUAAAUCUCGUCUUCCUUCUUUAUACACUUGUUUGUGUAUAUUAUGUAGUCCCCCAAGUGUUUGAGUGUUGCAGUAUGAAUCCUCGAGCACUUGAUAGUUUCUCUCAUUUGGUCCUUUUCCUGAAAAGGAAAAACAUACGGGACUCGGAGGUGCGAUUAUAAAUGAAGACUACUUAAUCCAUUUGAGUUUCUAUCAGAAUAAUUAUAACCCUAGGCCAGGAACUUUAGGUUAUUCCAUGUGCCUUACAAGUCGUGACUCAUCAUUUAGUACAGGUUAGCUUUUUUCCUAUCAUCUAAAAUCGUUAAUAAAAUUUUAUUAAUUCAAAAAUUAAAUUUAAAAUAAUGAUACCUAACUGUGGGUAUUCCUUAGAAAUAGUAUCUCUUCAACUGAACAACAUUCCAAUGUGAAGGUAGUGUCUUGCCAUCCAUUGUCUCCAGUUAAUAUUCUCUUUUUCCUACAAUAUCACGAACUCUAUAGGGUCCUUCCCAUGUUGGACCUAAUUUACCCGUGUUAGCUGCCUUUGUAGAUUGAAAAACCUUUUUAAGCACGAAGUCCCCAACUUUGAUGAAUCUGAAGCAUGCUUUUCGGUUGUAGUAUCGUUCUAUCACUUGUUUUUGCGAUGUCAUUCUUAUUAGUGCAGCUUCUCUCCUCCCUUCGAGUAAAUCAAUAAUGACCCGCAUCUCCUCGUCAUUAGAUUCUUGUGUCACCUGUGUGAACCAUGUACUUGGUUCUCCUAUGUCAACUGGAAUUAAAGACUCAAGUCCAUAAACCAAUGAAAAUGGCGUUUCUCCUGUGCUCAUUUUUGCAGUUGUGCGAUAUGCCCAUAAAACUCUAGGUAACACUUCAGACCAAUUACCUUUUGAUUCCUCUAAUCUCUCCUUUAAAUUGUUGAUAACAACACUGUUUAUUGAUUAUGCCUGCCCAAUACCCACUGGGUGAUAAGGUGUAGAUGUAAUCAUUUUAAUUCGCCAACUUUGAAAGAAUUCAGUGACUUGAGCUCCUAUAAAUUGAGGGCCAUUAUCACACACGAUCUCCUUUGGUACACCGAAUCGGCAUAUGAUAUUCCUCCAAAUGAAAUCCUUGACUUCAUUUUCUCAUAUAUGUUUAGAUGCACUUACCUCUACCUAUUUAGUAAAAUAUUCCGUAAGUAUGAGCAGAAAUUUCACCUUUCCUUUUGCUUGUUGUAAUGGACCCACGGUGUCCAUUCCCAUUUCAUAAAUGGCCACGGCGAUCACCGGAUGUGAUACUUCUGUAGGUCUAUGCAUAUUAUUGUCGUACUUUUGGCAUUUAUCACAUUUAGCCACGGUACUUUCUGCUUUUUCUUCCAUUUUAAGCCAAUAAUAGCUUGCCCUAAUAAGGGUUUUUACAAUUGAUCUUCUUCAUGUGUGAUUCCCACAAUGCUCCUCUUGAACCUCUGUCAUUACAUACUCCGUUUGAGAAUGUUUGAGGCAUCUUGCUAAGGGACCACAGAAUAUUUUACGAUAUAGAUUGUUUUGCUUUAAGCAAUACCGAGCAGCCAUUUUUUGAAGCGCAUGAACUUUUUUCUUAUCAUCAGGGAUGGUAUGAUACUGCAAAAAACAACAAUAUGGUUGCUCCAUUCCCAAAUUAAAUAAUUAAAAUUUACCCCAUUCUUAUUAGGGUUGAGAACUGAAUGAAAUAAAUGUAUAAUUGAGGUGUUUGCAUUACUUGCCACAUCACCCGCAGAUGCGAGAUUAGCUAAAGAGUCCGCUUCAACUUUUUCAUCCCUUGGUAUUUGUGUUACUUUCCAGGAUAGAAAUUACUUUAUCAAUUCCCGUACCUUUUCCAAAUACUAUUGCAUCCUCUCUUGUCCCCAGCAUUUUAUUAACCACGAGUUGCGAGUCACUUUUGAUUACAAUCUGAUUUAUGCCAAGUUCUCGUGGAAAUUCUAGACCUGCAAUUGCAUCCUCAUACUCCGUUUCAUUGUUAGUUAUAGAGUUACAUUUAAUAGCUUGCCGAAUGUUUUAACCCGUAAGAGGUACUAAAACAAUCCCUAAACCUACACUUUUUAUGUUAGAUAAACCAUCAGUGAAUAAAGUCCAAGUUCUUGGGUUAGCUCCAUUGAACACUUGUAAUUCUUUCUCUGCUUCUAAUUGUACGCCUUGGCUAGAAUCAGCCACGAAAUCAGUUAAUACUUGUGAUUUUAUAGCAGCCCUAGGUUGGUACGUGAUUUCGUAUUCACUUAACUCUAUAGCCCACUUCUGCUUGAUAACUCAUGCUUAUGUAAUAUAUUACGUAAAGGGUAGGCAGUUACUACAACAAUAGGAUGACACUGAAAGUAAGGUCUUAACUUCCUAGAUGCCAUGAUUCAUGUAAGUGCAAGAAUUUUCUAACUGAGAAUACCGCGUGUCUGCAUCUAACAAAGAUUUACUAACAUAAUAGAUAAGGUAUUGUUUACCUUAUUCCUCCUUGACCAAAACAGGGCUUACUACUACAUCCAAAACAGCAAGGCAAAUAAGUAGCCUAUCCCCAACCUUUGGUUUUGUCAGCAAAGGUGGAUUUGAUAAGUAUAUUUUCAAAUUCCUGAGUGCCUGCUGACAUUCUUCAUUCCAUUCAAAAUGAUCCUUCUUUUUAAGGGCCCAUACGAAUUUAAUGCACUUCUCUGAUGACUUAGAAAUGAAUCUCCCCAAAGCUGCAAUUCUCCCUGUUAAUAUUUGAACUUCUUUCUUGUUUGAAAGUAUAUCGGGGAUUUUUUCAAUGGCCUUAAUAUGUACAGCAUUUACUUCAAUACCACAGUUAGAAACAAGAAAACCCAAAAACACCUGAUGCAACACCAAAUGCACAUUUCUCAGGAUUUACCUUCAUAUUAAAUUUGCAUAAAAUUGAAAAUGUCUCAGAUAAGUGUGAUACAUGAUCCUUUGAAUACUAAGUUUUAACUACAAUAUCAUUUAUAUAUACUUCCAUAGUUUUUCCUAAAUACUCUUGAAAUAUUUUGGUAACUAACCUCUGAUACGUUGCACCUGCAUUCUUUAGACCAAAGGGCAUUACUUUAUAACAAUAAUUCCCCCUGUCUGUUAUGAAUGAAGUUUUAUCUUCAUCUCCUGGAUCCAUUUUAAUCUGAUUAUAACCCGAAUAUGCAUCUAAAAACUUAAUAGCUCGUGACCUGCAGUCGCAUCGAUCAAUUGAUCUAUGUGUGGUAGUGGAAAAGAAUCUUUCGGGCAAGCUUUAUUAAGAUCGGUGUAAUCUACACAAACUCGCCACUUACCGUUUUUCUUUGGAACUACAACAGUAUUAGCUAACUAGUUAGGAUACUUUACCUCAUGAACGGAACCAAUUUUUAGCAAUUUUUGGACUUCUUCUUGAAUCACCUAAUUCUUGAAAGUUCCUUGCUUUCUUUUCUUUUGCUUGACAGGAGGAUAUGAUGGAUCUUCAUUUAGUUUAUGAGUCAGCACCUCCGGUGGUAUCCCUGUCAUGUCAGAAUGGGACCAAGUAAAGCAGUUCACGUUAGUUUUCAAAAUUUCAAUUAACUUAUCUCUCAUACCUUGACUAAGAUUUGCCCCAAAGACUUUCUUAUCAGGCCAUUGAGCAAAUAGCACGACAUGCUCUAAUUCCUCUAUUGUUGUUUUUGAUAUUUUCAUUCUCUUUUGGUUCUUGAAUGGUAUGAAUCCUUGAAUCUAUAAUAUGUUUACCCCUCCUCAGUUGAGGUUUGUGUUGUGGCGACUUCAACUGCCUUCUGUGGUUGCUAUUUACCUUCAUUUCUCGUGCUUGUAUCUGCAACAGAGUUGAUAGCCCUAGAUGUGUGUUGAUCUCCACAAAUUUGACAUAUUCCCCAUGGCAACAGAAAUUUAAUAACUUGAUGCAAAGUUGAAGGAACAACAUCCAUUUGUGGAUCCAUCGUCUCUGAAGAAUCAUAUUGGAAGCCAUCUCCAUAUCUACUACCUGAAACUUUGUAUCUUUGACGACACCUUCACUGAAUGUGGUCAGUGUUACCUCUCCUUUCGUGACAACACUGGAAUUAUCAAUUCCAGAGAGAGUAUGGGCCUUUGGUAUUACUUUAUCUUUGGCUUGCAUCUCACGCAAUACUCUUAGCAAUAUAAUGUUUACGGAACUACCUGGAUCAAUUAAAACUCAUUUCACAUUAAUGUCAUAUACAAAUAAAGAUAUUACCAGUGCGUCGAUAUGAGGUAUUAACACGCCAUUUGCAUCUGCAUCGCCGAAUGUAAUGUUGUCUUCCUCUAAGAUGCGCCACACUCGUUUCCCUUGGAUAAUUGUUACUUUGGAAAUUUAUUAGCUGCCGUAUAUGAUAUACCAUUGAUGUCUUCAUCCCCACUUAUAACAUCGAAAGUUCUUUUGAGGGAAGGUGGUUUUGGAGGCUCUUGCUUGUUCUUCGUGUAAGCUUGCUUUCCUUUCUCACUGAAUAACUUAGUAAGAUAUCCUUGUUUCAAUGAAUGAUCAACUUCACUUUGUAAAAAUCUUCAGUCUGUUGUUUUAUGUCUGUGGUCAUUAUGAAACGUGCACCAAUGAUCAGGGUUGCGCCAGUUUGGAUUCAAUCUCAUUUCCUUUGGCCAUAAAACCCUAUCCCCCAUGAUUCUCAAAACAGCUACGAGCUUGGAGGUGCUAACGUUGAAGUUCUAACCAUUGAAUCUUACUUUUAAAUUUCUAUCAUCAUCUUGUGACUUGUAGUUGUUUCACUCGUUCCUAAAUUUUGAUGAAGAACAUUCUCUAUUUCUUGAUUUGUGAUCAUACCUUUGAUUAUCCUGCUUUGACCGUGAGUCCUUUCCCGCAUGUCCCAUGUAAGGCUCGUGUCUAUUUUUACCGAAUCUUUUUUUGAUCUCCGCACGUCUCAAACUUACCUUUUCUUUUUUUUUUAUAUCGUAGAACUCUAUCUUCCUCAAUCCUCAGCUUUAUGCUAUACCUGUUAUAAAAAUCCUUCCACGUUGUAGCUGGAAAUUCUCGAAGGCUUUCCUUGAGUCUCCUCGUAGCUUCCGAUCGUUUUUCAUUCAAAUUGUUCGUGAAAGCUAUAGCUGCCAAGUUGUCAGGUACACGUGGCCAUGUCAUUCUUUCACGUUGAAAUCUGUCCCUGAAUUCUGUAUGCAAUCCUGAGUUCCCAUGCUUGAUCUUGAAAAUAUAUUUCAUUCUUUUUUUCACUUUUUGAGAUCCCGAGUGUGCAUUGGUAAAAGAAUUUGUAAGCAAAAGAAUUUAUAGAAGUUUUAGGUAAAAGAGAAUACCGUGUUAGUGCUCCUUUAGUAAGUGUUUUGCCAUAUUUCUUGACUAAUACCGAUUCAAUCUCCUGCUUAGUCAACUCAUUGCCUCUUACGCCCGUCGUGAAUGCAGUCGCGUGGUCUCGUGGGUCUGUCGUUCCAUCAUAUUUUGGAAUAUCAGACUAUGUCUUUUUUUUCUUUUUUUAGUAUCUUAGGAGAAAGAUUAAUCAGACUAUGAUUUUUGAUCCUAGGAGAAAGUUCAUCAGACUAGGUCUUCUAUCUUAGGAGAAAGAUUCAUCAGACUAAGAUUUCGAUCCUCGAAGAAAGUUCAUCAGACUAUGUCUCUUUUUUGGUAUCUUAGGAGAAAGAUUCAUCAGACUAAGAUUUUGAUCCUUGGAGAAAGUUCACUAGACUAGGUCUUGUAUCUUAGGAAAAAAAUUUAUCAGACUAAGAUUUUGAUCCUAAGAGAAAGUUCAUCAGACUAGGUCUUCUAUCUUAGGAGAAACAUUCAUCAGACUAAGAUUUUGAUCCUAGGAGAAAGCUCAUCAGAUUAUGUCACUUCUUCUUUUUCUGUUUAUUUGUUUAUAUCUCAUCAAACUAAGAUUUUGAUCCUAGGAGAAAGUUCAUCAGACUAGGUCAUUUUUGGUAUCUUAGGAGAAAGAUUCGUAAGACUACGAUUUUGAUCCUAGGAUAAAGUUCAUCAGACUAGGUCUUCUAUCUUAGGAGAAAGAUUCAUCAGACUAAGAUUUUUAUUGGGAAGAUUCAGACUAGGACUUUUUAUCUAAGGAGGGAAAAAAAGUGAAGAUCAAUGGCAAGAUUUUAUGCCUAUGCAGACAAAUAAAUACCAAGAUUUGAGAAACUUACCUUUGUCGGCUCUACUCUUCUUCUCUUUUUCUUCUCUUUUUUUUGUUGUUUUUGUUCGCUUUGUUUUUUUCUUUCUUUUAUGUUUUUUUGAACCACUUUCCAUGCGCUGCUUUGUUAUUGCUGCAAACAAAGAACAAUUUGCCAGUUUUGAAAAUGGUGGUCAGCUUGUGGCCUUGAGUCUUGAGUAGCUUGGCUUUUGCUCGAUCAGCCUGAGUCGGUCUUAAGAGACCUUUGUUCUGCACCAAGUCUGAUUGUUUCGCACCUAGUACCAUUUGUAUUUGAGGUUUAAUCAACCCUGCCCCGAUUGGAGAUCUUGGCUCAGGUGACCUUUUCUGAUAUCUUCAAUGACUUUCUGCUUUUUGAGCAAUUUGUCUGUCAGAGAGAAUCACAAGUUAUCAUUUCUUGCGCCAAGCAGGCUGACAAGAGUCUUUUGGGGGAGCCCUUGCAUGAUCCUCAAGGCAUGCCAACAGUAACAGCUGAGUGCGCUGGCCAAAUUUGCUUUGUGCAACUGAAAAGCUUGUAGCAGAUUUUGAAAUCUUUUCUUACUUGUUUUGACGAGGACAGACUCAGAGUGAAGGACUCAAUAACACAAAGAAACAAAUAUUGACAAGAAAUGCCCCCUUUCGGAAGGAUAGAAGGAAGACUUUUUUUUAGUAACUAGCCUUAAUGAUCAUGACAUGCAUUUUGGACUUAACGGCCUGAUCUAUCCAACUAAUCUAAUCUUCGUUUUCCCCAUUGUUAUGACCUUUGAAGUCGCGCUUGUUCGUGCCAAUCCUUUGCAUCAGCUUCAUGACUCACUUUCGACUAGUGGUGCCUCGAGUAGUUUUCACCAACAAGUCUCUCUUAUUUAUUUAUCUCUUCUCACGAUCGUCUUACAAUGCCCGUGAGGGAUUUCAACUCAUUUUUAUUUCUAUUUUCUUUUUCUUUCGCUUUGCUUAUGCGAGCAUCUUGACAGUGUUCUACGUCACGUGGCAACCGUUGCUCAUUGCAUGCUUCUCUUGGCAUUCUUGAAGGCCUAUCGGGAGGAAUUUAUUUGGGGGAUCUUGGAUAUGGUUGGAAAGAAGGGUCGGCAUGAAGGAUCAAAGUAGACUUGAAAUUAGGGGUAAUAGACUUACAACUCUUGGAAUCGAUUCUUUCAAAAGUGAAAUAAAAUCUCUGCCCCAGUUUCAGCGAGUGGGGAUUUUCUUGGAUUUUUCUUUUGUUUCGUUUCUUUUUGUUGAAUUCCUAUUUGGUGGGACCGAACCGUGAGGCUACCUACGUAUCCUUUUUUUAAGGAAUCAGGUCUAACGUCGUUCAUGCAUCUGACCUAACUACUUUUCAUCUUUCUUUAUGUUUCUCUUUUCUAUUCGUUUUUUGUUUUUCUUUUGCUUUUGUUUUUCUCUUUUUUUUGAAUUUUGUUUGCUUGCUUUUUUUCAUUUUUUUUUCGUUUGCCCAGCUUCUAUUUUUUGAGGGCAUGGACCUUUGACAAUUCUUUUCUUCUUCUUUUUUUCAUUGAUUUUUUUCUUUUUCUUUUUUUUUAUUAUUAUUUUUUACUCUAAACUUGAUUUCAAAAGAGGGUAGUCAAAGAAAAUAAUACAUGCUCAAAAGGGGUAGCGAAGGAUAUAAAGUGUUUGGGUAGCAUAAAAGGGCCCCCAGCCUCGUGAAUGCCAAAUAUAGUAUCCUUUCGCAAUCAUGGCAUUGGUAACAUGUCUGUCUUCUUGGUGUGUCGUGGUCACAAGACACUUUCUAUUCCUUAAUGUCAAACUUUCCAAUAAUCUUCUAUUGAUUCUUCCUCAAGCCCGAUCUUCACAAUGAUUUUGAAGGUAAAGAUUCUUAAUUCCAAAGUAUUUCAACUCUUUCUUCAUCCUCAAAAGUGCUUAUCUUUUUUUGUUAUCUAACUCCAAAUUAAAUCAGUUUUUAUGAUCUGGCCAAAAUUUCCGAAUGCAUGUCAUGUUAUUAGAACUAGCGGGAAAAGAACUAAGAACAGAAUGACACAAAUGGACAAAAUGAAUUUUAUUGAAUACAGAUGGAAACGUUUGAAGACUAAAUAAUUAACCUAACCUCCGAGUUACAAACCUAAAUAACCCGGAUAAUGAAAAUAGCAACAAAACAGACAAACAUGACUCAUACAAACAGAAUAGAAAGAUAUAAGGGUUUGACUCAAUAAAACAAAUAAAAUCUGGAUCACACCCCUGAAAUAACCCAGAUAACAGAAAAAUAUCAAAACAAGCUACCAAGAUUCCUUCCUAAGUGAGGAGGGACUGACUUUUCAAUUGCUAAGCUUGACAUUUAGCCACAAAUUUGCUCAUCGGAAUCACCAUUGCCUCUUCCAAUUUCAUACGGCAAGUACUCGAGAGGAUUCUCAUACUUCAUGUCACCAGGCAUCAUCCUCACAAAGUAUGCAUCAUCAUGUGCAGGUAAAGAAUUAUGCGUAAUAUUCUGGGUGUCACUAUCUUGAAUCACAAUCAGGUUUUCCUGGAUCAUCCUCUCUAUUUCUCUUUACAAAUCCUGACAACUUUCAACAUCGUGCCCCGGGGUUUCAGAAUGGUAUUCACACCUUUUAGAAGGGUCAACAUGAUUUGAAGGAAUGGGUGCAAUAAUUCCAUAAUGCUUUAACUUCUUAAAUAGGCUUGCAUAUGACUCCCCUAUCGGUGUAAAAUAAUAUUUCAACUUUUGUUCCCUUCUAUACCCCUGGCUUGGAUGUGGGUUAUAAGGCACUUGAAAAUUUGGGGAGGCUGGUGGAAGGUGCAAUCAUACCAUAACAUUUUAACUUCUCAAAUAAGAUUGCAUAUAACUCCCCUAUUGGUGCAAAAUUAUAUUUCAACUUUUGUUCCCUUCUAUACCCUUGGCUUGGAUGUGGGUUACAGGGCACUUGAAAAUUUUGUAGAGGCCAGGGGAGAUUUUGUGAUACUCGUGCUCGCCUUCAUGGGUGAUUUGGUAGUUGGACAACAUACUGAGGUGGAUCAAUAGAGUAUGGUGGGUUCUGAGGUGGAUAGUAAUGCUUAGGGGAGUAAUGGAAAAAACCUGAUGAGGCUGCACAUACCUUCGAGGUGUUCUCCUGGGAUCUCUUCUCGAACCUGUUGUCAUCAUGAUUUCUUCAUCCUUCUCAUUUAUGUCACUAAAAUUAUCAAAUUCAACCUGGACAACCUGAGUUGCAGCUUUAAGAACUGUUUGACUUAAAAUUUUGCCUGUCUCAAGAAAAUUCUCUACCAUUUCUCCAAUUUUGAUUGCUUCCGAAAAGGAUUUGCCAACUGUGGACAUCAUGUUAUGCGGUUUUAAGAACUGCUUUACUUAAAAUUUUGCCUGUCUUAAGACCAUUCUCUACCAUAUCUCCCAUUUUGAUUGCUUCCGAAAAGGAUUUGCCAACUGCGGACAUCAUGUUUUGAAAUUAAUCUGGCUCUUGCGCUUGCAGGAAGAUAGUGAUUAGCUCGUGGUAAUCCAUGGGUGGCUCAACCCUAGCUGCUUGCUCUCUCCAUCUAAUGGCAUAUUCCCUGAAACAUUCACUUGGUUUCUUCUUCCGAUUUGAAAGGGAAUUGCAGUCUGGGUAAUGUCAAUGUUGUAUUGGAUAUGUUUGACAAAGGCCUGCUCCAUAUCAUCCCAGACAUACCAGCGAGAAGUGUCUUGAUCCAAAAAUCAUUCGGAUGCUACUCCCGUGAGCUUUCCCCAAAAUAAGCUAUUAGCAAUUAUUCAUUUCUUCCCACUUCUUUCAGCUGAUUGCAAUACCUUUACAGGUGGGCUGUGGGGUCUCCAUGUCCAUCAUACUUUUUAAAUAUGGGAGUCUUGAAACCAGGCGGCACGUGGACAUCGAGGAACAUACAUAGAUCUUUGAAGGUAGUACUGUUUUGACCUGCCAACCCUUGCAUGUUUUCAACCGUUGUUCUAAGUUUUUUACCCUUUGGGUUAUUUCUUCCGAUACCAUCUUUUGGGCGGGCUUCUCAAUCUUAGCAGGAAGAUCAAAUAGGUACGAGUGGUAUUCAGGAGAGUGGGAUUGCUCUUGCUGUGUAACAAAUUGUGACUCACGACAAGGUUCUUCUUGGCCGUUGGCCCAUGCUUGACACAUUUUAGCCAUUUGCUAUUUCAAUAUUCUAUUUUCCUCAGUCACAGUGGACUCUUGUCGAACCCUCUGACCCUGGGUCUCUUGAGCACUUGUAACAGCUUCGCUGUCAGUUAUCAUUUUUCCUCGACUCCUGUGUUGUCUGCUUACCACAAACCGACCACCUCAACUUUCUUUACAAUUAAAAUAAAAGACAUGUUAGAAUGGACUCAGUCAGUCUUUAUUAUUAUCAACAUUUUUUCACACUUGUUUUUUUUUCUUCCUUGUUUUUCAUUUUUUUUCAUUUUUAUCAUUUUCCUUUUCCAUGGUUGAUGGAACCUGACGUGGAUUGCCUACAUAUCAUGACUCCGCACGAAUCAGAUCUUGCGUAGUUCGGAGAGAUUAGGAAUAGAAGAAAUAGACUAAAUUUAUGUUUUUCUUGAUUUCGAAUUUUCUUUGGUUUUUUUACUUUUUUUUCAAAAGAAAUACUUAUAAAGAAGAAAGAGAAUAUUUUUGGAUUUUGAUUUUUCUUCAGAAUUUUUGCAAAGAAAGACAUUAAAAAAGAAAGAUAUUUUUUUGAAUUUCGACUUUUAUUUUAUUUUAUUUUUUUGGAAUUUCGAAAGAAAAACUUCAAAAGAAGAAAGAAAAAUAUUUUUGUAUUUAUGGAUUUUUAUUCUUAAGUUAGGAAAAAAGUACUUCUUAGGAAAAAGAAAGUAUCUUUGAAUCUCGAAUUUUCAACUUAAUUAUCAAAAGAAUAAAGAAAUAUUUUUUAAAUUUAAAAAGAGGAACACACAUAUUUUUUGAAAUAACAUUGACAAGUUUUUAUUUGAACCGUAUCUAGUUUUGAAUGGUACUUUACAUGUAUUUGAAUUACAUCCAUAACUUUCUCGUAACUAUUUUUCUUGUAACAGAUUUAUAAAGGAAAAAAUAAUAAAUACGAGGUUUUUAUUUAUAAUCCAUUUUGUUACAUAUCCUUUAUCCUAGCUAUAAGGUUUUCUUUGGCUUUAGCUCGUGACUUUUACUCUGCACUUGACUUUUUUAGGCUUGAUCUUUGAUUUUUCUCAAUCUUCGUUCUUUUCCUUCUUUAUACACAUGUCUAUGUAUAUUAUGUAGUCCCCCAAGUAUUUGAGUGUUGAAGUAUGAGACUCGAGCACUUGGUUAUUCCUCUCAUUUGGUCUUUUCCUUGAAAAAGGAAAAACAUAUAGGACUCGGAGGUACGAUUUUAGAUAAAGACUGCUUAACCCGUUUGAAUUUCUAUCAUAUUUUUGUAACGCUAGGCCGGGAAAUUUAACAUAUUCCACGCUCCUUGCAGGUCGUGAAUCAUCAGUUAGUACGGGCUAGCUUUUUUCCUAUCAUCUAAAAUCAUUAAUAAAAUGUUAUCAAUUCAAAAAGUUGAAUUUUAAAAUAAAGAUACCUGACCAUGGGUAUUCCUUAGAAGUAAUAUCUCUUCAAAUGUACAACAUUCCAAUAUGAAGGUAGUAUUUUGCAAUCCAUUGUUUCCAAUUCAUAUGCUCCUUUACCUGCGAUUCCGUGAAACUUGUCGGGUCCUUCCCAAGUUGGACUUAAUUCACCUGUGUUAUCUACCUUCGUAGAUUGAAAAGCCUUUUUAUGCACGAAGUCCCCAAUUUUAAAGAAUCUGAGGUGCGCUCUCCGAUUGUAAUAUCGUUCUACGACUUGCUUUUGUACUGUCAUUCUUAUUAGUGCAGCUUCUCUCCUUCUUAUAAGAAAAUCAAGAUCUAUACACAUAUCGUCAUCAUUUGAUUCUUCUGCUGCCUAAAUAAACCUUGUACUUAGCUUUCCUAUCUCAACGGGAAUUAGAGCUUCUGUACUAUAAACCAACAAAAAUGGUGUUUCUAUUGUACUUGUCUUUGCUGUUGUAGGAUAUGACCAUAAAACACUAGGUAGCGCUUCCGGCCAAUUCCCUUUUGAAUCUUCUAAUUGCUUCUUCAAAUUGUUGAUGAUGAUUUUAUUUGUUGAUUCCUCCUACCUAUUACCCACCGGAUGAUAAGGUGUAGACGUAAUCCUUUUAAUCUGCCAACUUUGAAAGAAUUCAGUGAUUUGAGCUCUUAUAAAUUAAGGGCUAUUAUCACACACGAUCUCUUUUGGUAUACCGAAUCGACAUAUUCCGCCAAAUGAAAUCUUUGACUUCCUUUUCUCGUACCUGUUUGAAUGCUCCUGCAUCUACCCAUUUAGUAAAAUAAUCAGUAAGUACAAGUAGAAAUUUUACCUGUCUUUUUGCUUGUGGUAAUGGAUCCACAAUGUCCAUUCCCUAUUUCAUAAAUGGCCAUGGUGCAAUCAUUGAAUGUAGUAAUUUCGCAGGUCUAUGCAUAUUGUUACCGUACUUUUGGCAUUUAUCGCAUUUAGCCACGAAACGUUCUGUUUCUUCUUCCAUUUUAGGCCAAUAAUAACAUUCCCUAAUUAAAGUUCUUACCAAUGAUCUUCCUCAUGCGUGAUUCUCACAAUGCCCCUCGUGAAUCUCUCUCAUUACGUACUUUGUUUGGGAAGGUCCGAGGCAUCUUGCUAAGGGACCACCAAACAUUUUAUGAUAUACGUUGCCUUGAUUUAAGCAAUAUUGAGCAGCCUUUUUAAAGAAUUCGGUAAUUUGAGCUCCUAUUAAUUAAGGGCCAUUAUCACACACGAUCUCCGUUGGUACACCGAAUUGGUAUAUGAUAUUUCGCCAAAUGAAAUCUUUGACUUCCUUUUCUCGUGCCUGUUUGAAUCCUCUUGCCUCUACCCAUUUAGUAAAAUAAUCAGUAAGUACGAGUAAAUAUUUUACUUGUCCUUUUGCUUGUGGUAAUGGACCCACGAUGUCCAUUCCCCAUUUCAUUAAUUUCCACGGUGCAAUUAUCGGAUGUAGUAAUUCCGCAGGCAUGUGCAUAUUGUUACCGUACUUUUGUCAUUUAUCACAUUUAGCCAUGAAACGUUCUUCUUCUUCUUCUUCUUCUUCUUUUUCUUCUUCUUCCAUUUUAGGUCAAUAAUAGCUUGCCCUAAUUAGGGUUCUUACCAAUUUAGGUCAAUUAUAAUUUUGUUUAUAAACAAGUUCCGUUGCCAGUUCCAAACCUGUAGUCAUAGCUUCAUACUCUGCCUCAUUGUUAGUUAUAGAAUUACAUUUGAUAGCUUGUCAAAUAGAUUCACCAGUAGGUGGUACCAAAACAAUCCCUAAACAUGCACCUUUUACGUUAGAUGAACCGUAUGUAUAUAAAGUCCAAGUUCGUGGGUUAGCUCCAUUGAACACAUGUAAUUCUUUAUCCGCUUCUAAUUGCAUCCCAUGGCUAAAAUCAAUGACGAAACCAGCUAAAACUUGAGAUUUUAUAGCAGUCCUAGGUUGGUAUGUGAUUUCGUACUCACUUAAUUUUAUAUCCCAUUUAGCCAACCUACCUGAUAAUUCAUGCUUAUGUAAUAUAUUACGUAAAGGAUAAGCAGUUACUACAGAAAUAGGAUGACAAUGAAAGUAAGGUCUUAGUUUUCUAGAUGUCAUGACAAAUGCAAGUGCAAGAUUUUCUCAUUGAGGAUACCGCGUCUCCGCAUCUAACAAAGAUUUACUAACAUAAUAGAUGCGAGAUUGAUUACCUUAGUCUUCACGGAACAAAACGGCCUUUACCGCUACUUUUGAAAUAGCCAAGCUUCUGUUUUGCCAGCAAUGGUGGAUUUUAUAAAUAUGUUUUCAGAUUUCUGAGUGCUUUUUGACAUUCCUCAUUCCAUUCAAAAUGAUCCUACUUUUUAAGAACUGAGAAGAAUUUAAAGUAUUUUUCGGAUGAUUUAAAAAUGAAUAUUCCCAAGGCUUCAAUCCUUCUUGUUAACCUUUGAACCUCCUUUUUACUCGAAAGCAUAUCAGGAAUCUCUUCAAUAGCCUUAAUUUGUGAGAGAUUCACCUCAAUAUCACUAUUAGAAACAAGAAAACCUAAAAACUGACCUGAUGCAACAACAAAUCCACAUUUCUCGAGAUUUAAUUUCUUUUUGAAUUUGUGCAGAAUUUGAAAUGUAUCAGACAAAUGUGAUAUGUGAUCUUUUGAAUGCUAAGCAUUAACAAGCAUAUCAUAUAUAUAUAUACACUUUCAUGGUUUUUCCCAAAUGUUCUUGAAACAUUUUAGUUACCAACCUCUAUAAGUCCCCCUAUCUGUUAUAAAUAAAGUUUUUUUUUCAUCUUCUGGAUCCAUUUUGAUCUGAUUAUAACUUGAAUAUGUGUCUAAAAAACAUAAAAGUUCAUGUCAUUGUAGCUGCAUCAAUCCAUUGAUCUAUAUGUGGUAGUGGAAAAGAAUCUUUAGAGCAGGAUUUAUUAAGAUCUGUGUAAUCCACACAGACGCGCCACUUACCAUUCUUCUUUGGAACUACAACAGUAUUAGCUAACAAGUUUGGAUAAUUUACCUACCGAAUGGAUCCAAUCUUUAAUAAUUUUCGAACCUCUUCUUGAAUUACCUGAUUCUUGAAGGCUCCUUGCUUUCUUUUCUUUUGUUUGACAGAAGGGAAUGAUGGAUCUUUAUUCAAUUUAUGAGUCAUUACCUCUGGUGGUAUCCCUGUCAUGUCAUAAUGGGACCAAGCAAAGCCAUCUACAUUAGUUUUCAAAAAAUCAAUUAAUUUACCUCUCAUGCCCUGGCUAAGAUUGGCCCCUAUGUAGACUUUCUUAUCAGGCCAUCUUUUAAAUAAUAGCAGUUUAAUUGUGAUUUAAUAGUUUUGCAUAACUUUUCUGGUUUAAUUAUAGUUGAAUUUUAAAAAAUUGAAACAAUAAUUGAAUAAUAGGUAAUUGAAAAAGAACUAAAGAAACAAAAGAGAUGAAUCAGGCUGGCCUCACAAUUGGGCAAGCUGUCCAAACCACCAAAAACCAGCCCACACCCGUCCCUAACAUGGUCCUUCAUUAAGUGACGCCCCAAAACAACGUCGUUUUAGGGCCAAUAAUCUCAACCAUUCAUAUGCCGUCAUCCAAUGGCCCUGAAUCAAUCUCGAUUAUUAAAUAGAGACGUUUGAAAUUGUGCCAUACCCUAGAGACCAAAUAUCCCUUCCUCGUACCUAUCAUCCCCAAUGAUACUCCGUCUCACAGCUGCCUGCCGGAAAUCAUCGCCGCCAGCGGAAAAGCUCCAAUGCCUCCCAAAAAUACACCCAUGAACCACCGUUCCCUCUUCUUUCCAAUGCCCUAAAAACCAGCUUUCAACUACGAUACAAACUUAUCGAAUAUAGGAAUUUGUGGAUGUCGCCUCUGCCGCUGCCAAAGCCGGAACCAUCCAAAAAUUACAGCCCAAGUUCCUCACCCCAUCCCCAUAAUGGAUCCGGCCUCAAUUUAUUUCAAACUUUAGCCAAUCGCCUCGUAUAUUCAUCCAAAGCCCCGACCAAAUCCUCGACCUCCCCGGAAUUCCAUGAAAUUGACACCACACAACCCCCUCACCUCCCUCUCCAUGAAUCUAUAACCAUUAACCCUUGAAUGUGACUCGUUCUUGUCAAAAAAUAAAAACCGGUCUAAAGCCCAACCUAUUCCAACCCCAACCAAUCUUACACCCAUUACUAUUUUCACCCUCUUUCUCUCAAAUUUCUAUUUAAUCUCUCUCAAAUGUCAAAAGACCCUCUCAAAUUUGAAAUCCAAAGAUGGCUGGAAACACUAAAUAUCAAGGUCAUGGGUUUUUGCUAUGCUGGUCAUUAAGCUAAGUUUUCCUGUUCAUUUUUCUUUUCAUUUUGUGAUUGUAUAUUUCUUCUACGUUAUUUUCUUGCUCAUCUGAUAAUAAUCUUCUGUUAGGUUAUUUGGAAUUUUGUUUUAUUCAGAAUUAUGUUCCUUUGUUUAAAGUCAUUGAUAAUCCGCUUUGAAUGAUUCCUUAUCGAUUGGACUUUUAGAUUUUUCUUUUUUAGAUUGAGUCAUUUUGUACUGAUCAAUGAACAACAUGUUUGAGUAAUUUGAAUUGAGUUGGUUUGAUAAGAAGUGAUCAUUUCAUUAUGUUUUAGGAUUAAUUUGGGGUUUGUGAUUAUGUUUCUUGUUCAGUAUUUGGUCAGUAUUUGAGGUCUUCAAUUUUGUUGAUUUUGUUUGCUUUUGAUUGUGGUUAAAAUAGUUGAUAUAACUGCAGUCUCCUUUACAUCUAGCGUCCAGUUUAUUACUACAUUUCGGCUUAGCUUAGUUGGGGUGAUAAUCAGACUGGGUUGGGUCAAGGUUAAAUAAUCUUAUCACUUUAAGUAAUUUAACUAUUGUCAAUCUUUGACAACUUGAUAAGAACUAGGGUGUAGUUGGUCAGGCUGAGUAAUUAUUGGGAAAGGACAAGGGUAAUAGGGGUAUUUGAGUAUAGGAAUCUUGAAACAGACCCCUGGAACCUUCUAAUUGGACAUUCAAAGAUUAAUUCGUGGUAAUUCUUUAAUAAAACUUGAGGCACAAGUUAGAAAACAAGGGACUAAUUGAACAAUUAUGAGAAAUAGGAAAGGGAUUAAUGAAUAAAACACAAAAAGAAAAGGGUUUCCCUAGGUUGGGGUUAUAAAUAGGCAAGUGAGUGCCUUCAUGAAGAGAGGUUGAAAAUUCCAGAAGAGGCUGAAAAUCCCUGAAAAUCCCCAAGGUUUGAAGUCUGAAAAAUCCCAAACUCUCUUAUUCAAAAAAAUCCUGGCAAAAGUCUCCUAAAAAACUUCCAGAUAAUCAGAAUUCUAUCCAUAUAAGAUGAAGAUAACUUGAAGCAUGUGGGUUUAGGGUGUUAGAACCUUCAGAACCUUCUGGGUAUUGAUCUCAAGUCGGAUUGUGUUUUGUUCAAGCUGUAUGGGUUGAAUUUGUUGGUGUUGUUGGUUUUUUUAAAGGUUUCCUGGGCUUCUUGAUACUAUUUCUGGGUUUACAAAUUGUGGACUUGCUACUGUUAUUGCUUCUUGCUUACUUGCUGAUAGGUGCUUUCUUAUUUGUUGUAAUUCCAGGUACACACAUAUGAACCUGAUCUGAUGUAACCAUCUUAGGAAAUCAAAAUGGUAAGCAUUCCAUGCAUUCGUCCUUUGAACUGAGUCUGCUGGGCCUUCAAUAAUAUAGAAUCGAGUAGUUUUUAACGAUUUGUAAUAUCUGGUAUAUCUUAAUUUGAUUUACGUUUGUUAAGCUGGAACUGUGUAAUAUGGACUAUACCUGGACUGUAAGCUUAGACCAUUUGGACUACUAGUAGGAUGGUACAUCUUAUGUAGUAAUUUUUAGAUUGUUUAAUUUCUUACACUUAAUAGUAGUGAUAGUAUGUAUGCACUUAUGCAGAUUUGUAUAGAUAAGUCUAUC